AGGUUGCAGUCUGUGUAGAGGCUGCUCUCCAUCCCGAAGGAGGCUGCAGGGAAGCUCUCUCCCCGGAGUGGCCCAGGGAGGAUUUUUCUUGGACUACAGACAGGAAAGCUGAUUCAGCCGGGAACCUUCUUCUGCAUUCAGAACCCCCACGGCUCCACCCUCCUCCAUCCCCCCCGCCCACCACGCUCCAUCCCCUGCCAGCCCCGUGACCCUGAGCCCCAGUGCGCUGGCGUUUAUUGCUAAUUGUUUUCAGACAGAUGGUGUGGCCCAGAGUCUAAUUCCCCAGGCUAGGGGGCAGGGACGCUGGAGGAGAAAGCCGUGACCUUGACCGCUGCAUUCUUGAAGAAAAGGGUUCAUCCACAUUGUAGCCUAUGUCAGAACGGCCUUCCUUUUCGAGGCUAAGUAAUAUUCCACUGCGUGGAUAGACCACAUUUUGUUUGUCCAUCCUCCACUGACGGACGCGCUGGUUGCCUCCACCUCUUGGCCAUCGUGAAAGUGCUGCUGUGAACACAGGUGUGCAAAUGUCUCUUCCAGUCCUAGAGGAUGGAUUUUUAAGAAACUAGAGAAUGGAACCCGGCUGGUACUGUCCCUUCUGCAAGGCCAUUUCCCGGGACUGAUCUCCUGAGGAGCCUGGUGGGUGGAGGAGCUCUUGCCCAUGCCUGCUGUUCAGCCUUUUCUUCACCCUUCUCCCACCCCGGCCUCUUCACACAAAAGUCUGAAAUAAAUGAAGGCAGCCAGAGCGCAGAGGUCUAGAGCUUCCCCCAGGCCCAGGAUGAAAAGCCAUGAAUCCACCCUGUGUUCAAUUUCCCCAUCAUAAAUUCACUCAUCCACAGCUGCAUUCCGGCUUCCUCCAGGACAACAGGUUGCCACCCAUGAAGACACCAAGUGGCAGCAGAGAGAGAGAUUCUAGGUCUCACACCAAGGAUGAGGGCCCAGGACAAGGGCCGCUAGUGGUCAUCUAUGGCUUAACCUCUGAGACAAUGCAUCUUUCCAUUUCCAUGCUGGAGGCCGGGUUUGCAGAGAGCCA